rnacentral:rRNA from 1 species
AAAGCGUGCGCAGGCGGUUCUAUAAGACAGAUGUGAAAUCCCCGGGCUCAACCUGGGAACUGCAUUUGUGACUGUAGAGCUGGAGUACGGCAGAGGGGGAUGGAAUUCCGCGUGUAGCAGUGAAAUGCGUAGAUAUGCGGAGGAACACCGAUGGCGAAGGCAAUCCCCUGGGCCUGUACUGACGCUCAUGCACGAAAGCGUGGGGAGCAAACAGGAUUAGAUACCCCUGU